GUUCCCUCAGAUGUUUCUCUUAGAUGUUCCUGGUGCAUGCCAUCUCUCUCCUCCUUUAUAGUCCUCUUCCACCAAUCCCAACUCUGCUACCCACACGCUGAGUACUCUGCUCUCCUCCAAUCAGGAGCAGGUCCCACAGUUUAUUGGUUGAACUGGAGGCAGCUGUGUAGAAGCCUCUUUCUUCUCUCCCAGCGCCAUAUUGUGGGAGAGCAGAUGCAUAGAAUAAGUCUUAAUUCCAGUAACUUAGUCUAGUCUGAGUUGCUCCCAGUUGCUCCCCACAGAACUCUGCAAUCAAUGCACAACCAUUCUUAAGCGUUUAAAAAUUAACAGGAAAUUGAUCUCUGUGGAACAUGGGAGUGGGAAUAAGAGAGGGAGGAGAUAUAUAGGACGGCACAUACUCACUCAGACCUACCUCCAAUGGUGGAACUGGAAAUGUGCCAGGGGAUGUCAAGUCAAUCUUACCAAGGAGGCAGGUACCAAUGCCAGCACACUUGGUAAAGUGACAAAUAUAAAUACACAACUGAUCAAAAAGAUAGGGUAAGUGUCGAAGAGAUUACACAAAUAAGACCAGUGUAAGCAAAUAAUGAAGGAUAGAAUCAAAAGGGUUGAGAAUGAUCCUGCGGAGGAAGCAGGACACACAGCAGACUCAUAGAAUGGCAAAUGCCCAAAACAGCACUCCUGCCUCAGAAUCAACCCUUGGGACAUUCGGAUCUGACUAAAAGGUCCAUGAGAGUCUCGCAGGCAUGGAAAGCCAUGACACGGUGGCAAAAAAACAAUCUAAAUGAAGGAUCCUGGUGAACAACACCCCAGCAGAAGGAUCAGGCCAUCAAGGAGAGAGGCGCCUUUCUCUGAAGGGAGGAAGGAACCUCCACUGUGAUAUGGCCUGGACUAAACAAAUUCAGAGUUGAUGAACUCAAGGGGCUUCCAUAGCCUAGACAGCUCAUAGCAAGAGUCUCGGGUAAUUGCUGACGUCAUAAACAAGAGUGCCAAUUGUUAAAUCAACAACGGGAGUCACUGGGUUCAUGCUCCCCACGCAGGAUCUCUGUCCUUAAUAUGUUUAUCUAUGAAAUUCAAAAACAACACUACUAGUUGAACAAUACCCUAUACCUGGUUCGGUUGUGUGAGUGCAACCUGUUGAAAUUCCUGCUUAGUAUAUACUAAAUUGAUCUUCGGUAUAUGAAGCUGUUUGCAUAAAGGAUUUCAUCUUACAGGAUACUUUUAGGAUCAAAAGACAGACAAUGAGCUCAGACAUAUAAACCUUUACAACUAAGGAGGAAAGAGCAAAACUGAAAGAAGCAAAUUGUUAACCAGGAAGAACACUGGAAUAGGAUCACAGGAUCAUGUCUAUAAAGAAGAGUGCUUUGUUUGCGGUACCUGAGCAAUUGAGGACAUCAUGAAGUAGCUGCAUAAACCACUAUGAAUUUCCAAGACUCCCCAAAAUGAAUGUCAACUCUUUUCUAUAAAGAAAUAAACCUAUAUUAAUGACAAACAAAAAUAAAAUGCCCAUCUGCUUCUUUCAUCCCACACUUUUUUGUCCUUCAUCUACUCCUUUCUUUGCUGACCUAUUGGCCACCUAUAACCUGUUCCUUUCUACAGAAUAUUUAACUGAGAUAAAAAUUGUGCUAUGAGUAGUAUAACUCAAUUUUGGUUAUAUUCUUUAUGUUAAAAAGAGUUGAACAAAAGUAAUUGGAGGCGUGGCCAACUCUUGUACUUUAGGUACUAAGUGGGAUACUGGUAAUGUCACUAGUAGUAAUUUCCUGGAUAUAAAGACAGAAUGCUGGGCAUCUCUAUGCCUUGCUGGUUAGUGACAAACAUAACUCUGCUUUUGCAUACUACCUUUUCGUGCUUACACCAUGUGGCCUCCUUAGGGUGAGAAAAGUUAAGUCUUUUUCUCAACUAAAACUUUUGCAGAAAGCUGUUGUAUGAGAAAUAUCUAUGGAACUGCCUAGCCUAAAGGCAGGUGUUACAGAACUCUGCUUGCUAAUGAAAGCAAGAAAGAAGCAUGCUAUGUUUCUUAUCACAACUUUAAAGGCAUAAUUCUUCAACAUUUCUUGAUACUAUAGCAGUAUAUUUUGAUGGUAUCUGAGAGUUGCUCAGAGAAUUUCAAAGUAGUUUUAAAUUUCCUUUGCCACAAACAGCUUGUCAAAGACUGCUGAAUGACAAUGAAAAUCUGAAAACAAACACUCUUGGUGAAUACAAAAAGCUUACCAAUGUGGAACAGCGUUCAAAACACAAAAUCCAGCAUUUCUUGGUGAGAUAAUAUACUUUCUGCUAUUUUACUCUGCUCAGUCAUUCUCUUGAUGCAUUAUUUUCAUCUGCCUACAUGUACUCAAAUUCCACUGGAUUCCAUUUUUAAAGAUAAAUUAAGAUAAAAUCUGGCAAUUGAGGAAUGAUAACUUAUAUAAAAUAAAAUUGUGCAAAUCUAGUUUAAAAAUAUUUUACUUAUGUAUUUGAGAGACAGAUAUAUACAGACACAAAAUUCUCACCUUUUAGUUCAUUUCUAAAUUCCCACAAUGGCCAGGACUGGACCGACUGAAGAAGGGAGCUAGGAACUCAAAUCAUGUCUCCCACGUGACAGGUAGGAAUCCAAUUACUUGAUUCAUCAUUGUUGCCUACCAUCGUCUGCAGUAGCAAGAAGCUGGAGGCAAGAGCUGCAGUGGAAAAUCAAACCAGAGGUACUCAAAUAAAAAUGUCAUGGUCUCAAAGGGUCUCAACCACUAGGCUAGCUGACCACUCCAUGCAAGCCUAUUUUAAAAGGGAAAAAUUUAUAUUCAACUUAAAGCAAAUACUUUUUACUUGAAAACUAUCUUGACUUUUGUAUUCCAUGUAUUUAUAGGAAACAGACUACACAUUGAGUAAUAAAAACAAGCUACAGCCGGCGCCGCGGCUCAAUAGGCUAAUCCUCCUCCUAGUGGUGCCGGCAUACUGGGUUCCAGUCCUGGUUGGGGCGCCGGAUUCUGUCCCGGUUGCCCCUCUUCCAGGCCAGCCCUCUGUUGUGGCCAGGGAGUGCAGUGGAGGAUGGCCCAAGUGCUUGAGCCCUGCACCCCAUGGGAGACCAGGAGAAGCACCUGGCUCCUGCCUUCAGGUGAGUGCGGUACGCCAGCCACGGCAGCCAUUGGAGGGUGAACCAAUGGCAAAGUAAGACCUUUCUCUCUGUCUCUCUCUCUCACUGUCCACUCUGCCUGUAAAAAACAAACAAACAAACAAACAAAAAAACAAAAAAAACAAGCUACACUAAUAUUUUCAUUUCAUUCAUGUAAGUGCUCAGAGCAUUUGACAUUUAUUCUAAAUAAUCACCUUAACAAUCAGAUGACAUACAAAAACAUUGCCACACAUUUUUAAACAUCAUGAAGAUAAAAUGCAGGCAAAUUGAAUUUGUAAUAUAUGAUAAGGAAUUAGUUUAUAAUAUAUGCUAAGGAAUUAGUUGAUAAAAGCUAAGACUUAAAUGACUCCAGUUGAAUUAAUCAACUAAGGAUAAAAAUAGA